AGUAUACCAAGAUAACCAUACACAUUGCUCUGAAUUGUCAUUUUAAUAUUUUCACGCUCCUCCUCAGUGAAAGGGACAGGUUUGUAAAGAAUCUUGGCCUGCUUAAAAAUAGUACUUGUCCCAGAUCCGCCGUAUCCAACUAAAAGAAUCUUCUGAAGCGUUCUCUGCUCAAUGUAGUCUGGGACACUUCUGCUCAUCAUACUGUUAACUUGUUCUCCACAAGAAUUUGAAGAUUUAGCGGGAACAGGGAGUGAUAAGAAAGCACAUACAAGCUUCAUUCCCGCCUUGCCCCAAAUGUAACCUUUAGUGUUCUUCUGCCCCUCUUCUUGGUAUGAUCCAUCCUCAUUCACCCAAAAAUGUGGGUUGCCAGCACACUGAACUCCAGCCAGCUGCAACAUCCUAAGCUCUACUUU
rnacentral:misc_RNA from 1 species